rnacentral:tRNA from 1 species
GACGCUGGAACCUGAUGGCCGGGCGGCUGCCUGCAAAGCAGUUGGAACUGGGUUCGACUCCCACUGGCGUCU